rnacentral:rRNA from 1 species
AUUGAACGCUGGCGGCAUGCCUAACACAUGCAAGUCGAACGGCAGCACAGUAAAGAUUUCGGUCUUUAUGGGUGGCGAGUGGCGGACGGGUGAGUAAUGCGUAGGAAUCUGUCCUGGGGCGUGGGAUAACCCGAGGAAACUCGGGCUAAUACCGCAUAAUAUUGAGAGAUCAAAAGCAGGGGACCGAAAGGCCUUGCGAUCUGGGGUGAGCCUACGUCGGAUUAGCUAGUUGGUGGGGUAAUAGCCUACCAAGGCGACGAUCCGUAGCUGGUCUGAGAGGAUGACCAGCCACACUGGGACUGAGACACGGCCCAGACUCCUACGGGAGGCAGCAGUGGGGAAUCUUGGACAAUGGGGGAAACCCUGAUCCAGCGAUGCCGCGUGUGUGAAGAAGGCCUUCGGGUUGUAAAGCACUUUAAGUGGGGAAGAAAGGUAGUUAGUGAAUAACUAAUUGCUGUGACGGUACCCGCAGAAUAAGCACCGGCUAACUCUGUGCCAGCCGCCGCUGUAA